rnacentral:rRNA from 1 species
UACAGAGGUCUCAAGCGUUGUUCGGAUUCAUUGGGCGUAAAGGGUGCGUAGGCGGCGCGGUAAGUCGGGUGUGAAAUCUCGGGGCUUAACUCCGAAACUGCAUUCGAUACUGCCGUGCUUGAGGACUGGAGAGGAGACUGGAAUUUACGGUGUAGCGGUGAAAUGCGUAGAUAUCGAGAGGAACACCUGCGGCGAAGGCGGGUAGCUGGGCCGACACUGACGCUGAUGCGCGAAAGCCAGGGGAGCGAACGGG